GGCUCAGAUUGAACGCUGGCGGAAUGCUUUACACAUGCAAGUCGAACGGCAGCAUGGACUUCGGUCUGGUGGCGAGUGGCGAACGGGUGAGUAAUAUAUCGGAACGUGCCCAGUCGUGGGGGAUAACGUAGUGAAAAUUACGCUAAUACCGCAUACGAUCUAUGGAUGAAAGCGGGGGAUCGCAAGACCUCGCGCGAUUGGAGCGGCCGAUGUCAGAUUAGCUAGUUGGUGGGGUAAAGGCCCACCAAGGCGACGAUCUGUAGCUGGUCUGAGAGGACGACCAGCCACACUGGGACUGAGACACGGCCCAGACUCCUACGGGAGGCAGCAGUGGGGAAUUUUGGACAAUGGGCGCAAGCCUGAUCCAGCAAUGCCGCGUGCAGGAAGAAGGCCUUCGGGUUGUAAACUGCUUUGUACGGAACGAAAAGGUCUGGGUUAAUACCCUGGGCUCAUGACGGUACCGUAAGAAUAAGCACCGGCUAACUACGUG
rnacentral:rRNA from 1 species